GUUCUGACAGAGCGAGUGGUGAUGGUUGGUUAGCAUCUCAAAUCAGCACUUUGGCCUCUUCAAGCUAUCAAUUCGCAUCCCCCUUAAUAGUACGGUGUUCCUAAACUCAAUUUCAAAAAUAGAAAUUAUAAAAAGGUCUUCUUUUAAGCUUAACACCAUUCUUCAGUGAAAUUGAGGUUCUUUUCUUACACCUUUGCACUUCUUUAGAAUUUAAACCUAUCAAUCACUUGAUAAAAUCAUUAGUCCCUUAACCAAAACCCACUUAGGGGGCCAAAUGCACAUUCACCCGCCCCCGCCAUCC
rnacentral:lncRNA from 1 species